rnacentral:rRNA from 1 species
GACGUAGGGCGCGAGCGUUGUCCGGAUUUAUUGGGCGUAAAGAGCUCGUAGGCGGCUUGUCGCGUCGUCCGUGAAAACCUGCGGCUCAACUGCAGGCUGGCGGUCGAUACGGGCAGGCUGGAGUUCGGUAGGGGAGACUGGAAUUCCUGGUGUAGCGGUGAAAUGCGCAGAUAUCAGGAAGAACACCCGUGGCGAAAGCGGCUCUCUGGAACGGUACUGACGCUGAGACGCGAAAGCGUGGGGAGCGAACAGG